rnacentral:rRNA from 1 species
GAUGAACGCUGGCGGCGUGCUUAAUACAUGCAGGUCGAGCGAACGGACGCGAAGCUUGCUUCUCUGAUGUUAGCGGCGGACGGGUGAGUAACAUGUGGAUAACCUACCUAUAAGACUGGGAUAACUUCGGGAAACCGGCGCUAAUACCGGACGAUAUUUUGAUCCGUAUGGUUCAAUAGUGAAAGACGGUCUUGCUGUCACUUAUAGAUGGCUCUGCGCUGCAUUAGCUAGUUGGUAGGGUUACGGCUUACCAAGGCAACGAGGCAUGUCCGACGUGAGCGGCGGGUAGGCUGCCCUGGAACGUGAACACGCUCCAUGGGCCUGCGAGAGGCAGCAGAAUGCUACCGUCCGCAAUGGGCGGGAGCCUGGCGGAGCGGCGCCGCGUGAGAGAUGAAGGUCCUCCGAUCGUAAAACUCGGUUAUGGGUUAUAAACAAAUUUAUAAGUAACUGUGCACUUCUUGACGGUACCGAAUCAGAAAGCCACGGCUAACUACGUG